rnacentral:rRNA from 1 species
UACAGAGGUCUCAAGCGUUGUUCGGAUUCAUUGGGCGUAAAGGGUGUGUAGGUGGCGCCGUAAGUCGGGUGUGAAAUUUCGGAGCUUAACUCCGAAACUGCAUUCGAUACUGCGGUGCUUGAGGACUGGAGAGGAGACUGGAAUUCAUGGUGUAGCAGUGAAAUGCGUAGAGAUCGGGAGGAACACCAGUGGCGAAAGCGGCUCUCUGGUCCAAAACUGACGCUGAGGGGCGAAAGCGUGGGGAGCGAACGGG